GUACUUGCUUCGGCAGUACAUAUACUAAAAUUGGAACGAGACAGAGAAGAUUAGCAUGGCCCCUGCACAAGGAUGACACGCAAAAUCGUGAAGCAUUCCACAUUUUU
rnacentral:snRNA from 1 species